CGGGACACGUGGUAUCCUGUCUGAAUAUGGGGGGACCAUCCUCCAAGGCUAAAUACUCCUGACUGACCGAUAGUGAACCAGUACCGUGAGGGAAAGGCGAAAAGAACCCCGGCGAGGGGAGUGAAAAAGAACCUGAAACCGUGUACGUACAAGCAGUGGGAGCACGCUUAGGCGUGUGACUGCGUACCUUUUGUAUAAUGGGUCAGCGACUUAUAUUCUGUAGCAAGGUUAACCGAAUAGGGGAGCCGAAGGGAAACCGAGUCUUAACUGGGCGUUAAGUUGCAGGGUAUAGACCCGAAACCCGGUGAUCUAGCCAUGGGCAGGUUGAAGGUUGGGUAACACUAACUGGAGGACCGAACCGACUAAUGUUGAAAAAUUAGCGGAUGACUUGUGGCUGGGGGUGAAAGGCCAAUCAAACCGGGAGAUAGCUGGUUCUCCCCGAAAGCUAUUUAGGUAGCGCCUCGUGAAUUCAUCUCCGGGGGUAGAGCACUGUUUCGGCAAGGGGGUCAUCCCGACUUACCAACCCGAUGCAAACUGCGAAUACCGGAGAAUGUUAUCACGGGAGACACACGGCGGGUGCUAACGU
rnacentral:rRNA from 1 species